UAUUCAGAUAGCCUUUACCCCAUCAGCUGUAGCUAUUACAAUGCUGUGGGCUGCAUUAAGAUGCAUUUUCUUGUUCCUCUGAAUUGCAACCAUCUGCUUUUCAUUUUGCACAAAAGGACUUCUGGGGUAAGAGUAACAACUUCCCUGAGAAAGUAAAGGAAGAUGGAGAAACUGGGUCAGAGUUUAAAGGAUUUGUUCAAGCCUAUGGAGCAAGUCGGUGUCCUCACAAACACCUCUUAAAUUGGUUGAUUAAUCUUUGCACUUUUGCUCUAUAGAAGAAAGAGUUGAUGUCUUCUGUUUCUGCAGUGAUUUGUAGAUGAACCACUGACUAAUGCUAACCACCCAGAAUGGUUAACUCCCUUUUGCGAAUGAUAGCAACUACUUGCUAUAUUAUCUGGUUGAAGAAAAGAGCAUGCACUUUUACUAUCAGUCAGGGUUAUCUUGCUUUGAUGAAAUCCUUUAUUUUGUUGCAAGUUGGAUAUAAAUGUUCUGCUUAGAAAGAUGAAAACCAUGAAGUACUAGGGACUUACUAUAUUGUGGUCAGUGUGAAUUACACAUGCAUCAUUGUGUGAUUUCUCAAGGAUUUUUCACAUUCUGAAGGAAGAACUGUCUUCACGGGACCAAAUCCUGAACCAAGUAUAAACCUGAGAAAACUGUGUGGGAUGGAAGAAGAACAAAUCUUCCCAUGUCUUCAGCUCUCCUCAGCCUUACCUUAGCCUUACUCCUGUGAAUGCAGCUGCUGUUUCUGCCUAUACAGAAUGGACUGGCUCAUGCAUUAUUGUCAUUGAUAUGAUGGUCCCAACCAACUUGUAAUCUCUAGAAAAAAAGGACACUUGCAGAGCUAUGAUUGAUUGGGUACAGGCCACCUUCCACUUCUGUACAGUGGAGGUGUCAGCACUGUCUUCAGCUGUAUGGGGAGAUUUAGGGGAGAGAUGCUUUACAACAGUACAAUGCAAAUGAUCUGUAUUGCUGAGGAGAAGGAACCAUCACAUUCAGAACCCAAGUGGCAUACCAAAAUAAAAACCUAUCUUGAA